rnacentral:rRNA from 2 species
UACGAAGGGGGCUAGCGUUGCUCGGAAUUACUGGGCGUAAAGCGCACGUAGGCGGAUUCUUAAGUCGGGGGUGAAAUCCCGGAGCUCAACUCCGGAACUGCCUUCGAUACUGAGAAUCUCGAGUCCGGGAGAGGUGAGUGGAACUCCGAGUGUAGAGGUGAAAUUCGUAGAUAUUCGGAAGAACACCAGUGGCGAAGGCGGCUCACUGGCCCGGUACUGACGCUGAGGUGCGAAAGCGUGGGGAGCAAACAGG